rnacentral:rRNA from 1 species
AUUGAACGCUGGCGGCAGGCCUAACACAUGCAAGUCGAACGGCGCGCCGGACGGGUGAGUAAUGCCUAGGAAUCGGACUGGUAGUGGGGGAUAACGUCCGGAAACGGGCGCUGAUACUGCAUACUCUCAGAUGAGCCUAGGUCGGAUUAGCUAGUUGGUGGGGUAAAGGCCUACCAAGGCGUCGAUCCGUAACUGGUCUGAGAGGAUGAUCAGCCACACUGGAACUGAGACACGGUCCAGACUCCUACGGGAGGCAGCAGUGGGGAAUAUUGGACAAUGGGCGAAAGCCUGAUGCAGCCAUGCCGCGUGUGUGAAGAAGGUCUUCGGGUUGUAAAGCACUUUAAGUUGGGAGGCGUUACCAACAGAAGAAGCACCGGCUAACUUCGUGCCAGCAGCCGCGGUAAUUC